rnacentral:rRNA from 1 species
UACGUAGGGUGCAAGCGUUAAUCGGAAUUACUGGGCGUAAAGCGUGCGCAGGCGGCUUUGCAAGACAGAUGUGAAAUCCCCGGGCUCAACCUGGGAACUGCAUUUGUGACUGCAAGGCUAGAGUACGGUAGAGGGGGAUGGAAUUCCGCGUGUAGCAGUGAAAUGCGUAGAUAUGCGGAGGAACACCGAUGGCGAAGGCGGCUCCCUGGACAAUUGCUGACACUCAGGCACGAAAGCGUGGGGAGCAAAAGGG